rnacentral:rRNA from 1 species
UACGGAGGAUCCAAGCGUUAUCCGGAUUUACUGGGUUUAAAGGGUGUGUAGGCGGGCUUUUAAGUCAGUGGUGAAAUCUUCGGGCUCAACCUGGAAACUGCCAUUGAUACUAUUAGUCUUGAAUUUUGUUGAGGUAGGCGGAAUAAGUCAUGUAGCGGUGAAAUGCAUAGAUAUGACUUAGAACACCAAUUGCGAAGGCAGCUUGCUAAACAAAUAUUGACGCUGAGGCACGAAAGCGUGGGGAUCAAACAGG